rnacentral:rRNA from 1 species
AUUGAACGCUGGCGGCAGGCCUAACACAUGCAAGUCGAACGGUAGCACAGAGAGCUUGCUCUCGGGUGACGAGUGGCGGACGGGUGAGUAACGUCUGGGAAACUGCCCGAUGGAGGGGGAUAACUACUGGAAACGGUAGCUAAUACCGCAUAACGUCGCAAGACCAAAGUGGGGGACCUUCGGGCCUCACACCAUCGGAUGUGCCCAGAUGGGAUUAGCUAGUAGGUGGGGUAAUGGCUCACCUAGGCGACGAUCCCUAGCUGGUCUGAGAGGAUGACCAGCCACACUGGGACUGAGAAACGGUCCAGAAGCCUACGGGAGGCAGCAGUAGGGAAUAUUGCACAAUGGGCGCAAGCCUGAUGCAGCCAUGCCGCGUGUAUGAAGAAGGCCUUCGGGUUGUAAAGUACUUUCAGCGGGGAGGAAGGCGGUGAAGUUAAUAGCUUCACCGAUUGACGUUACCCGCAGAAGAAGCACCGGCUAACUCCGUGCCAGCAGCCGCGGUAA